rnacentral:rRNA from 1 species
UAAUAGCGUAUAUUAAAGUUGUUGCGGUAAAAAAGCUCGUAGUUGGAUUUCUACCGAAGAUAGCCGGUCGGGUCUUCGACCUUGUAUCUGGUUUUGUCUUUGGUAUCCUCAUAGGGAACGUUUCUGCGCUUUAUUGCGUGGUGCGGUAUCUAUGACUUUUACUUUGAGGAAAUUAGAGUGUUCACGGCAGGCAAACGCCUUGAAUAUAUUAGCAUGGAAUAAUAACAUAGGAUCUUCGUCCUAUUUUGUUGGUUUCUAGGGCUAAGAUAAUGAUUAAUAGGGAUAAUUGGGGGCAUCUGUAUCAACGCGUCAGAGGUGGAAUUCUUGGAUUGCGUUGCGACAAACUACUGCGAAAGCAUUUGCCAAGGAUGUUUUCAUUGA